rnacentral:rRNA from 1 species
AGAACGAACGCUGGCGGCAGGCCUAAUACAUGCAAGUCGAACGCACUCUUCGGAGUGAGUGGCAGACGGGUGAGUAACGCGUGGAAACCUUCCCAAUAGUACGGAAUAACUCCGGGAAACCGGUGCUAAUACCGUAUAAGCCCUUCGGGGGAAAGAUUUAUCGCUAUUGGAUGGGUCCGCGUCGGAUUAGCUUGUUGGUAGGGUAAUGGCCUACCAAGGCGACGAUCCGUAGCU